AUUGAACGCUGGCGGCAGGCCUAACACAUGCAAGUCGAGCGAGCGGCGGACGGGUGCGUAAUGUCUGGGAAACUGCCUGAUGGCAGGGGAUAACUACUGGAAACGGUAGCUAAUACCGCAUACCAUCAGAUGUGCCCAGAUGGGAUGAGCUAGUGGGUGGGGUAACGGCUCACCUAGGCGACGAUCCCUAGCGGGUCUGAGAGGAUGACCAGCAAAACGGGAACGGAGACACGGUCCAGACCCCUACGGGAGGCAGCAGUGGGGAAUAUUGCGCAAUGGGGGAAAGCCGGAGGCAGCCAGGCCGCGUGUGUGAGGAAGGCCUUGGGGUUUUAAAGCACUUUCAGCGGGGAGGCGUUACCCGAAGAGAAAGCACCGGCUAACUCCGUGCCAGCAGCCGCGGUAAUUC
rnacentral:rRNA from 1 species